GCCCGGGUGGUGGAAUUGGUAGACACAAGGGACUUAAAAUCCCUCGGGGACUAAACCUUCCCAUGCCGGUUCGAUUCCGGCCCCGGGCA
rnacentral:tRNA from 4 species